rnacentral:rRNA from 1 species
UGGGGAAUCUUGCACAAUGGGGGCAACCCUGAUGCAGCGACGCCGCGUGAGCGAUGAAGCCCUUCGGGGCGUAAAGCUCUUUCGACCGGAACGAUAAUGACGGUACCGGGAGAAGAAGCUGCGGCUAACUACGUGCCAGCAGCCGCGGUAAUACGUAGGCAGCAAGCGUUGUUCGGAGUUACUGGGCGUAAAGAGUGCGUAGGCGGUUUUUCUAAGUUCGGUGUGAAAUCUCCCGGCUUAACUGGGAGGGUGCGCCGAAGACUGGGAAGCUGGAGUGUGGGAAAGGCAGGCGGAAUUCCUGGUGUAGCGGUGAAAUGCGUAGAUAUCAGGAGGAACACCGGCGGUGUAGACGGCUUGCUAGACCAUAACUGACGCUGAGGCACAAAAGCGUGGGUAGCAAACA